rnacentral:rRNA from 1 species
GCAAGAUACCACGGGCGCACGGCGGAUGCCUUGGCACAGGGAGCCGAUGAAGGACGCGGCAAGCUGCGAUAAUCCCCGGCGAGGAGCACACAUCCUUCGACCCGGGGGUCUCCGAAUGGGCGAACCCAUCCGUAGCAGUACGGAUAUCCCCCCGCUGAACACAUAGGCGGGGGGAGGACAACCCGGGGAACUGAAACAUCUAAGUACCCGGAGGAGAGGAAAUCAAUCUCGAGACUCCCCGAGUAGCGGCGAGCGAAAGGGGACCGAUGGCCAAACCGUCGAGCGGGCAUACCCGGCAGGGGUUCCGCCGACGGGGUUGCAGGGCCGCGCAUCCGGGGGCUGCCGCCCCCGGGCGCAGGUCCGGCUGGGGAGCGGAACGGCAUGGGAGGGCCGGCCGCAGCGGGUGACAGCCCCGUACGCGAACCCAGACCGGACGGCGCGACGCGGUCCCUGAGUAGGGCCGGGCACGUGAAACCCGGUCCGAACCUGGGUGGACCACCAUCCAAGCCUGAGUACUACCCUGUGACCGAUAGCGCACCAGUACCGUGAGGGAAAGGUGAAAAGCACCCCGGGAGGGGAGUGAAACAGUACCUGAAACCGUGCGCCCACGAGCAGUCGGAGCAACUUUCAGUUGUGACGGCGUGCCUUUUGUAGAAUGAGCCAGCGAGUCGCUGGCGCGGGGCGAGGUUAACCGAAAGGGAGCCGGAGCGAAAGCGAGCCUUAACAGGGCGACUUGAGUCCCGCGCCGCGGACGCGAAGCCGGGUGAGCUAUCCGUGGGCAGGCUGAAGCGGGGGUAAGACCCCGUGGAGGGCCGAACGCACGUCGGUUGAAAACGGCGGCGAUGACCUGCGGAUAGGGGUGAAAGGCCAAUCAAACCCGGAGAUAUCUCGUUCUCCCCGAAAUAGCUUUAGGGCUAGCGUCGCGCGUUCACCGCCGGAGGUAGAGCACCGGAUGGACGAGGGGGCUUCGCCGCCUACCGAAUCCAACCGAACUCCGAAUGCCGGCGGCCCAGAGCGCGGCAGUCAGAGCAUGUGGGCUAAGCUGUGUGCUCGAGAGGGAAACAGCCCGGACCGCCCGCUAAGGUCCCCAAGUUCCAGCCGAGUGGCAAAGGAUGUGCGUCCGCCCAGACAACCAGGAUGUUGGCUUAGAAGCAGCCAUCCAUUCAAAGAGUGCGUAACAGCUCACUGGUCGAGUGGACAUGCGCCGACAAUACACGGGGCUAAGCUGGACACCGAAGCGGCGGGAUUUUAAUUCAUUAGAAUCGGUAGGGGAGCUUCCCAUGGGCGGAGAAGCCGGAGGGCGACCGACGGUGGAGCGCAUGGGAGUGAGAAUGCUGGCAUGAGUAGCGAGAGACGAGAGAGUAACUCGUCCGCCGUGAACCCGAGGUUUCCUGGGCAAGGCUAAUCCUCCCAGGGUCAGUCGGGGGCUAAGGCGAGGCCGGUAGGCGUAGCCGACGCGCAGCAGGCAGACAUUCCUGCACCGCGCACGCGGCGCUACGACCGACGGGGCGACGGAUGGGGGUGGCUCGGCGGGGUUCUGGACGUCCCCGUGAUGGAGCGCGGCCCGCGGACCAGGGAAAUCCGGUCCGCAUCAAGGGCGAGGCUCCGGACGAAGCGACUGAGCGAAGCGAGUGAGCCCGAGGUCCCUAGAAAAACCCCUAGGCAGGCGCGUGCGCGCCCGUACCGCAAACCGACACAGGUGGGUGGGUAGAACAUACCGAGGCGAUCGGGUCAACCAUGGUCAAGGAACUCGGCACAAUGGCCCCGUAACUUCGGGAGAAGGGGUGCCCGCGCGUACGUGAACCGGCUUGCCCGGGGAGCGGAGGCGGGCCGCAGUGGAGAGGCCCAAGCGACUGUUUACCAAAAACACAGGACUCUGCAGAAGCCGCAAGGCGACGUAUAGGGUCUGACGCCUGCCCGGUGCCGGAAGGUCACGCGGAGGAGUUAGCCGAUUCGGCGAAGCCCCGAAGCCAAGCCCCGGUAAACGGCGGCCGUAACUAUAACGGUCCUAAGGUAGCGAAAUUCCUUGUCGGGU